rnacentral:ribozyme from 1 species
UCUCUUUGGUCCAUCACACGUGGAAGAGGGUGUGGAGGAGCAGAGGAGGGGCAGAUAUUUGGUGAGGCCCCAAGAAUG